AGUGAACGCUGGCGGUAGGCCUAACACAUGCAAGUCGAACGGCAGCACAGUAAGAGCUUGCUCUUACGGGUGGCGAGUGGCGGACGGGUGAGGAAUACAUCGGAAUCUACUUUUUCGUGGGGGAUAACGUAGGGAAACUUACGCUAAUACCGCAUACGACCUACGGGUGAAAGCAGGGGAUCUUCGGACCUUGCGCGAUUGAACGAGCCGAUGUCGGAUUAGCUAGUUGGCGGGGUAAAGGCCCACCAAGGCGACGAUCCGUAGCUGGUCUGAGAGGAUGAUCAGCCACACUGGAACUGAGACACGGUCCAGACUCCUACGGGAGGCAGCAGUGGGGAAUAUUGGACAAUGGGCGCAAGCCUGAUCCAGCCAUACCGCGUGGGUGAAGAAGGCCUUCGGGUUGUAAAGCCCUUUUGUUGGGAAAGAAAAGCAGCAGGUUAAUACCCCGCUGUUCGGACGGUACCCAAAGAAUAAGCACCGGCUAACUGCGU
rnacentral:rRNA from 1 species